rnacentral:rRNA from 1 species
UACGUAGGGUGCAAGCGUUUGUCCGGAAUUAUUGGGCGUAAAGAGCUCGUAGGCGGUCUGUCACGUCGGCUGUGAAAAUCCCCGAGGCUCAACCUCGGGGUCUGCAGUCGAUACGGGGCAAACUAGAGUAUUGCAGGGGGAGACUGGAAUUCCUGGUGUAGCGGUGAAAUGCGCAGAUAUUUAGGAGGAACACCGGUGGCGAAGGCGCCACUCUGGGCCGAAACUGACGCUGAGGAGCGAAAGCGUGGGGGAGCAAACAGG